CAUCACACAAAAGUCCUAAGAAGUAAUCUACUCUCCUAAAAUAGGAGUGUACAUUCUCACUUUUCAUGCUGCAACUGCUGCUGAAAUCACCUUGGAUGCUGAAAAAUUCUCCCCCAAAGUGCACAGGAUCCGACACUCUCAGUAGAAUUGAUGUCUUUGGUCCCCCGCAGCGCUCACUGAACUAAUGCCCUUUGUGUCACCACUGUCUCAUGUAGGGAUUUGGAGUUCAGCAAGAUUUGUCAGUGGGGGACCCAGGAAAUCAACACUCCUGAAAGUGUCUGUUUCCCUGUGAAUUCCACAGCACAAAGUUUUAGGAUUAGAGCAGCACUAAUAUGAGCAGGCGGAAGAAAAAGGUGAGUACACACUUUUAUUUUACAGGUAGAUACAUUCUUAGCAGCUUUUGUAGAGCCUUUUUAGGGAGCACACAAAAAAAAAUUAUUGCUAUAAUAUAGACCAGGUAUAAGACGUAUCGGCAGUUUUUGGUUUAAUUUUCUUGGGUUCAUAAUAAAGAUGUGACUUUACAUUUAAUUUCAUAACAAAGAUGCACUUUUAUAUUUCAUAAGUCCCGUCUGAAGUGCUGAACAAUACAUUUGUUUGUAAUAAACUUGUUAUCGCCUAAAUCCUGUAAA